rnacentral:rRNA from 1 species
GACGUAGGGCGCGAGCGUUGUCCGGAUUUACUGGGCGUAAAGGGCGCGUAGGCGGCGCUGUAAGUCACUUGUGAAAUCUCUGGGCUUAACUCGGAACGGUCAGCUGAUACUGCUUUGCUAGAGUGCAGAAGGGGCAAUCGGAAUUCUUGGUGUAGCGGUGAAAUGCGUAGAUAUCAAGAGGAACACCUGAGGUGAAGACGGGUUGCUGGGCUGACACUGACGCUGAGUGCGCGAAAGCUAGGGUAGCAAACGGG